rnacentral:rRNA from 1 species
UACAGAGGUCUCAAGCGUUGUUCGGAUUCAUUGGGCGUAAAGGGUGUGUAGGUGGCGCGCUAAGUCGGGUGUGAAAUUUCGGAGCUUAACUCCGAAACUGCAUUCGAUACUGGCGUGCUUGAGGACUGGAGAGGAGACUGGAAUUCAUGGUGUAGCAGUGAAAUGCGUAGAGAUCAUGAGGAAGACCAGUGGCGAAGGCGGGGU